CCGAUCCGUAACUUGGUCUGAGAGGAUGAUCCAGUCACACUGGAACUUGAGACACGGUCCAGACUCCUACGGGAGGCAGCAGUGGGGAAUAUUGGACAAUGGGCGAAAGCCUGAUCCAGCCAUGCCGCGUGUGUGAAGAAGGUCUUCGGAUUGUAAAGCACUUUAAGUUGGGAGGAAGGGCAGUUACCUAAUACGUAAUUGUUUUGACGUUACCGACAGAAUAAGCACCGGCUAACUCUGUGCCAGCAGCCGCGGUAAUACAGAGGGUGCAAGCGUUAAUCGGAAUUACUGGGCGUAAAGCGCGCGUAGGUGGUUUGUUAAGUUGAAUGUGAAAUCCCCGGGCUCAACCUGGGAACUGCAUCCAAAACUGGCAAGCUAGAGUAUGGUAGAGGGUGGUGGAAUUUCCUGUGUAGCGGUGAAAUGCGUAG
rnacentral:rRNA from 1 species